CAGUUAGUUGGUGAGGUAACGGCUCACCAAGACAGCGAUCGAUAGCUGGUCUGAGAGGACGAUCAGCCACACUGGGAUUGAGAACGGCCCAGACUCCUACGGGGGGCAGCAGUGAGGAAUUUUCGUCAAUGGGGGCAACCCUGAACGAGCAACGCCGCGUGCAGGAUGAAGGUUUUCGGAUCGUAAACUGCUUUUCUCUGGGACGAGAACGGACGGUACCAGAGGAAUAAGCCCCGGCUAACUACGUGCCAGCAGCCGCGGUAAUACGUAGGGGGCAAGCGUUGUCCGGAUUUAUUGGGCGUAAAGCGCACGCAGGCGGUCGAAUAAGUCUGAAGUGACAGUUGUCGGCUUAACCGACAAAGUAUUUCGGAAACUGUUUGACUUGAGGGCUUCAGAGGGACACGGAAUUCCGGGUGGAGUGGUGAAAUGCGUAGAUAUCCGGAGGAACACCAAAGGCGAAGGCAGUGUCCUGGGAAGUACCUGACGCUCAGGUGCGAAAGCUAGGGGAGCGAACAGGAUUAGAUACCCUGGUAGUCCUAGCCGUAAACGAUGACCACUAGACGUUGGGGGUAUCGACCCCUUCAGUGUCGCAGUUAACACG
rnacentral:rRNA from 1 species